AUGUGCGUACCGCAAAGCCAAGGCGGAAUGGGCUUUCGUGACAUUCAUUGUUUUAAUUUGGCGAUGUUGGCUAAACAAGCUUGGCGUCUCCUUGAGAACCCAGAUUCCUUGUGUGCCACCAUUUUGCGAGCUAAGUAUUUCCCUGGUGGAGAUUUAUUGAACGCAAAGUUAAAAAAGGGAGAAUCCUUCACAUGGCAAAGUAUUAUGGCGGGGGUUAAUACUUUAAAACAUGGCUAUAUUUGGCGAGUUGGAAAUGGUUAG
rnacentral:rRNA from 1 species